rnacentral:lncRNA from 7 species
CAUCUGCCUCUGGCACUGGUUCUGGCAUCGAUGAUUUAAAGAUAACACUGGACAAUGAGAGAGGGAGCAGGUCAACGCUGGAUGCCUUUUCUGAGGGUAAGAUUUAGCAGAGGUAUGGGAGAGGAAUCUGGGACCUGUAUAGAGGAUGCCCUCAGAUUCUCCAAAGCCACAUGUAAGCUUACCUGCAAGUAAUCUCACUAUUCAUGGAGGAAGCCUGGAGGAGAUUCAUAAGGGGAAAGUUAGCUGGAACAGAAAGCCCUAUAUGAAGAGUAUUUCUGUAGCCUUCUACUCACCAACACCUUCCUGAUAAUGACCAUACAUCAGUACUGUGGACAUCACCACCACAUGGACAAUAUCAGCAGAGGCAGAAGCUGAGCAAUGCACAAGUGGUUGGACCAACUCCAAGGUCCAAGGUCUGCUUCAAAGAUGGAGACCUGAAGAAGAUACACCAUGAUUGCUGACACGAAGACAUGAAACCAAAAUAUCAGAGGAAUUAAGGAUAAACACCCUCAUUUCAUUGUCCUAGGAAAGCUGAAGUAAACAGCGAGUUCUGGGCUCAUCAAAUUGAUGGAUAACUCUAAUGAAUCCCAUGACUGCGCUACUGAAAUUAUCUCAACCACCAAAAUGUCUGUUUAAUCUACAUCAGAGUAGCUGCGCUUCUUUUGUGCCUGGAUAAAUCACUGGACAGUUAUCUAUCUGAGGCAGCAAAAACCCCACAGAUGUGGGCAAACUUCCAGUCUUACUGAAGUGAGACCAGAACAUAAAAGACUGAAGAAACACCAUGAAGGCAACAACAGUCCCAGCAGUCCAUGCCUGCCUCCAUACUUGCACAAGGUCAUGGUCCAUCCAGGAGCAGCCAGCUGCUGGAGUCAUAUUUGAAGCUGUGGCUGCCAGAAGAGGACAGCUGAGCCUCCUAGGACAUAUGCCCUCUGUGUCACUGGGCCAGAAUGUGGGGAUCUUCUUCAUCCACUGUCAUAGUGGAGCUUGGGGUUCAGGAUCACUCAAAACCAUGCCACUACCCCACAGCUGACCUCCUGGCUCCAAAAGAGGGAAGAGGUGGGAACAAGCACUGGCUGAGCAGGGGCUCUUCUAUCUCUGCUGAUGCAGUUGAACCAUCCCAGCUGACAUACCCUUCACCCUUACUGCUUCCCUGCAAGUUGGCCAAGGUGUCAGAUAUACAUCAAUUGGGGAAAGGUUUUGUAACUUAAAACAAGUGACCUUUUAAUCCUUCCAGGGUAAUGAAUGGAAAUAAUAACAAUGUUAAACAAUUUCUACCUGAGUAAAGUUGUCAGGAUCUGUGUUUCUGUGUUCUAUUACUAAUCUGAAAGAGAAAAAAAAAAUCCAAACAAUGUUUCUCUGCCUUUCAUUCCUUAAGACAAUGGAAUAAUGUGUAUUUGUCAUUCAUUAAACAAAUAUCUCUGUGCAGGAUAUAAAAGAACCACAAAAACUGACACAUGAAGAGAUUCAUUAAUCACAAACACAAUGAAUAUUAGUUUUUAAAAGAGGAAGCACAAAAGACCUCAGAACAUGGGGUGUACAUGGCGGGAUGUCGCAGCUGGGAGCAUUGCAGCCUUGACUAUGAUGCCUGCCCCAUUCAGAGUAACCUUUCCUGGAAUAUGUCCUGUUGAGUUUUCUGUUUAUUUCAAUAUCCUGCUAGUUUGUUUGCCAUUUAGAGCAGUCCAACUGGCUGUAUUACCUGAUGGGAUGCAAAUAAAAUAGCAA